GGAGGCAACACUGGCGUCAGUGAUGUGAGGAGAAGGCGGCACCAAGGUGAUGGGAGGAUGCUGUGGCAGCAGCAGUGAUGUGAGGAGGAAGCAGCAGUGGCGGUGGAAGGAGGAUGAGGACAAGGAGAGGGUUGCAGGGGUUGGAGCGCCUGCGCGGAGAGAGGAAGAGGACACACUGAUGUAGGACAAGAAGCAAGACCAUGGGAAGAUCCUUGUGGAGAACAAUUAUGAAGAUUCGAGCCAAGGGAUUGUUGGGUUUAGUUAGUAGUUUAUUAUGUGUUUAAUUUAAUAAGCAUAGUAUCAUGUGAAUUGGGGGGCUUGUUUGUAGUUUUUGUGUUCUAUACGGGUUGUAGUGUAGUGUGGUUUUAGAGGUAUAUGUGUAAUUUCUUGUGUUAGAGGCUUUCAUAUAAAUAGUGUGUGAAAGCCAUGUUGUAAGUAGGUUGGUGAAUUUGAAUUUAAAGUGAACAUGAGUUUCCCCCUUGUA